rnacentral:misc_RNA from 1 species
AAGACUAUAGACCUGCGGAGUACCUGCGGAAGGAUCAUUACCGAGUUAGGGUCUUCACGGCUCGACCUCCAACCCUUUGUCUACCUUACUCUGUUGCUUCGGUAGGCCCGCUUCCGGGCCGCCAGGUGGUGUUCACUGCCUGGCCAGUGCCUGCCGACAGCCUUCCACAAACUCUUGAGAAACGGUGGUUGUCUGAAUUUGAAAUCAUAAUAAGCCUAAAAACUUUCAACAAUGGAUCUC